GCCGGGGUGGCGGAACAGGCAGACGCAGGGGACUUAAAAUCCCCCGAUCGAAAGAUCGUACCGGUUCGAUUCCGGUCCUCGGCACCA
rnacentral:tRNA from 10 species